rnacentral:lncRNA from 1 species
GAGACGCCAACAUGGCCUCUCCCAGGGAAGUCUGGUAUGCAAGUCCAGUAUGCUUCCAAUUUAGGGACAGCCUUGUGGUGUGGGCCCGAGACUCCAGGCUGCACAGCUUCUAGUAUCCCCAUUCUCAUCCUGAUGCNGUCCUUUAGAUAACUGAAGACGGUGGAAACUCUAUCCUAUCGCCAAUCAACGUACAUGAAACUUACUGGAAUCAAUUCCCACAGCCAGGUCUCUGGGAAAGAUUGGGAGUCCUCUGAGAGCCCUCUGUCUGCGGGCGAUGGUGAUGCCAACCCAGCCUUCGGGGCAAUACCGCCAUCUGCUGACGAAGCUAAGAAGAAAAUACAGGAAAACAGAAGACUCCCAUUAUGAUCUGGGAGAUUGGUAAGAAAUUCAGAGCCAACCAGAGAACUCACUCAUACAAAGAAAAGGACCGCCACGGAGAGGAGAAGUCAGAAAGGCCACUGGGGAAGUACGGACAAAGAGUUGUGAUCAGAGACUGAACAGAUACGGGAUCCAGGCUUCAAAGGCUCUUCCUGGAGAGACAUUCUGGAAAUGUCCUGCAUCUACGACACAGAACCAAUCUGAAGUGGCAGACUCGGUCUGAGAGNAGAGGAGGUUUUCAGGGUCCUGCGUCCCACAGCUUACCUCCCUGAGUGGCAGUGCUGUCCUGUGGAGGGUAGCAACUGCCAUCUCCUGGCUUCUUGACUUUGGCAUCUAAUAAAGUUUUCAAGCACAUGUCCUGACCAUAGAGACCAACAAAUGAUGGGUCAAUGUGCCCAAUGAGGUCUAGCUAGCUCAGCCAUAAAUGUAUUAAAAAUAAAGAUGUUUAUGCUUUC